GACGUAGGGCGCGAGCGUUGUCCGGAUUUAUUGGGCGUAAAGAGCUCGUAGGCGGCUUGUCGCGUCGUCCGUGAAAACCUGCAGCUCAACUGCAGGCUUGCGGUCGAUACGGGCAGGCUGGAGUUCGGUAGGGGAGACUGGAAUUCCUGGAUGUAGCGGUGAAAUGCGCAGAUAUCAGGAGGAACACCGGUGGCGAAGGCGGGUCUCUGGGCCGAAUACUGA
rnacentral:rRNA from 1 species